GGGAAGUACGAUCGCAAGAUUGAAACUCAAAGGAAUUGACGGGGGCCCGCACAAGCGGUGGAGCAUGUGGUUCAAUUCGACGCAACGCGAAGAACCUUACCUGGGCUAGACAACGGCGGACCAUCCUAGAAAUAGGAUUUUCCCUUCGGGGACUGCCGGUUCAGGUGCUGCAUGGCUGUCGUCAGCUCGUGCCGUGAGGUGUUGGGUUAAGUCCCGCAACGAGCGCAACCCUUGCCUUUAGUUGCCACCAUUCAGUUGGGCACUCUAGGGGGACUGCCGGCGUUAAGCCGGAGGAAGGUGGGGAUGACGUUGACGUCAUAACC
rnacentral:misc_RNA from 1 species